rnacentral:tRNA from 1 species
UCUAAUAUGGCAGAUAAGUGUGAUGGACUUAAACCCCAUUUAUAAAGUUAAACUUUUUUUAGAA